AACCUAUGGUGGGGGCAUUCCCUGUAGUAAUCGUUGAACCGCUCCCAAGCUUCCUAGAGGAGAUCUUAUUCCUCAAAAU